rnacentral:tRNA from 1 species
AAAAAUUUAGUUUAAAUGUUAAAACAUUAACUUGUCAAGUUAAAAAUAAAAUUAUGUUUAAUUUUUU